rnacentral:rRNA from 1 species
CGUAAGGCGCCGAAUGAGUCAUUAAAAAAUUAACAUCAUCCGAUCCCUAGUCGGCAUAGUUUAUGGUUAAGACUACGACGGUAUCUGAUCGUCUUCGAUCCCCCUAACUUUCGUUCUUGAUUAAUGAAAACAUCCUUGGCAAAUGCUUUCGCAGUAGUUAGUCUUCAAUAAAUCCAAGAAUUUCACCUCUGACAAUUGAAUACUAAUGCCCCCAACUAUCCCUAUUAAUCAUUACGUCGAUCCUAGAAACCAACAAAAUAGAAUCAAACGUCCUAUUUCAUUAUUCCAUGCUAAUGUAUUCAAGCGCGAGCUUGCUUUAAACACUCUAAUUUUUCAAAGUACAGUCCUGAUUCCCAUGACACCAAAUUAAUGACAUCGUGGUUCGUCAGAAGGGAGAAACCAAAAUUACCAGUACGUACCGAGGCACGACCAACAAUUUGAUCUCGAAAUUCAACUACGAGCUUUUUAACUGCAACAACUUUAAUAUACGCUAUUGGAGCUGGAAUUACCGCGGCUGCUG